GAUCAUGGCUCAGGAUGAACGCUAGCGGCAGGCUUAACACAUGCAAGUCGAGGGGCAGCGACGAGGUAGCAAUACUUUGGUGGCGACCGGCGCGACGGGUGCGUAACGCGUAUGCAACCUACCUUAACAGGGCAUAACACUGAGAAAUUGGUACUAAUUCCCCAUAACAUUCGAGAAGGCAUCUUCUUGGGUUAAAAACUCCGGUGGUUAAAGAUGGGCAUGCGUUGUAUUAGCUAGUUGGUGAGGUAACGG
rnacentral:rRNA from 1 species